CCGCUAAUUAAAUUUUAACUUUUUAAUCCUUUAUCUUUACGGGUUCUUCAAUUGAGUCAACUCUAAAAAUCUUAAUUUAAAAAGUGUAUAUAUAUAUAUAUUGAUAGAGAGAGAGAACUUCUCUAAAGGUAAGUAAAUCAAUUAUAUUGACUAAGAAAUAAAGGCAAUAUAUAAAUCAAUAUAUUUUUUGGUUGCGUUAAAUGUACGGCACUUUUUGGAAAUUUACAGUUUUCUGUUAUGGCACAUAAAAAAAAAUUAACUGAAAAUUGUUGCUUUAAAUUGACUAUCUAACGUGCAAAUGCCGAAUAUGAAUUGACACGUUAACAUUGACUUGCCCCACAUAUUUUUACAAAAUAAAGACAAGUUGAUGAAUGACUUCCAGAGAGUUCCCCUGAUGUGGUAAUUUUAGAUAUAAAAAUAAAGAGUUUAGAUUAAACUUAUAUAUAUAUAAUCAUGUUAGUUGAUGGAUGUCUUUCAGAGUGUUUCUCACUCCAUGAUUUGGUAUUGAAGUGA
rnacentral:misc_RNA from 1 species